rnacentral:misc_RNA from 1 species
UUGCUUUAAUUUAUCAAUUUGACUUAGGCAUGUGACACGGUUAUUUCAGAAUUUGUAAAGGUAGGCUCUCGGCGGACGCGGGCCAGAGGACGCCUCGCGGCAAAUCCUCCGGCGGUCUCGCGAGAGACGGGUCCGCCGAAGCAACAGAGGUUCGGUAAUCAAAGGGUUGGGAGGUCGGGCCUGGAAGACCCUAACUCUGUAAUGAUCCUUCCGCAGGUUCACCUACGGAAA